GGAGGGUAGAGCUCGUGGUAGAGCACGUGCUUAGCAUGCACGAGGUCCUGGGUUCAAUCCCCAGUCCCUCCA
rnacentral:tRNA from 1 species